GUAUGUAACCUCUGUGAUCUGUGACGCUGUGCUUUAACCUAUAAAAAUAUCUAUUGUCUUAACUCAUUAGUAAAUAAGUGGUUUUAAAGUACAGAAGAUGGCAAAAAACAAUAAUUUAGUACUACUAGGCUACGAGGACGAGUUGAUAACCGAUAAAUACAGAAAUCAGGUCAAUUUUACCACGAACAAAAUUGGAGGAGACCCUGAUUUUCCCCACAGCAUCAACAACAUAGAAACACACAUUACUUGCAAACUGUGCAAAUUUCCCUGUCGCCUUGUGGUGCAAAUCUAUGCCCCCUUAGGCAGUGUAUCGGAUCAUCGGACUUUGUACGUGUUUGCCUGUAUAAAUCCAACCUGCUGGAACAAGAGCGAGAGCUGGACCUGCUUGCGUGUGCAGCAUAUAAAUCUGGAAAGCAGUGGAACGAAACCGCAGGCCGAGGCCUGCAAGCUGAAAUCAACGGAUUGGUGUUUUGAGGCGGAUGAUUGGGGCAACGAUGACGCCAAUUCCAACUUGGACGAGCAAAAUUGCAACGUUUUCAGUAAUAGUGAAAAGGUCUCCGAAGACGAGGAAAGCAGCAGUUUUGAAGAUUCUGUGAUGUCAGGAUUGGGCAGUUUGUCUAUUGAUGAAAGAAAUGCCAAUAAUGGGGCUCAAGGAGGUGCUGUUGCUCGUUUACAUGCACCAAUGGCAACUGCAGAAAUCGAGGCCGAUGAGGAUGGUGUCGUAACGGCAGAAACUCCUACCAGGCCCAAAUACAACCUGGAGGCUCUGCUGAGUCUGGACCGUCGGCCUGAUAUCGGCCAGCUUUUACAUGAAGCCUCCUUUCAGCCAUAUUUUAUUUCCGUGUAUGCCGAAGAAGAGGCCGCCUGCUCGAGCCCUGUAGGCGCCAAUCAUGUGAAGGAGCUCCUGAGCGAUUAUCAGCGUCUUGAUGCUGACUUUGCGCUGCUUCAAGAAGGCCAGAAAGGCAAUCACAAGGCUGGUGAAGCUAAUGGGGGCGAUAUGGGGGUGGAAGAAUACGAAGAAGCUGUGCCUCUACAUGGAGAUAAAAUGUUCCACUAUUUCAUCACCAGGGUAAAGUCCAACCCAGAACAGAUACUGAGGUACCAUCGUGAGGGAGUUCCUCUUUUGCUGUACCCCCUGCAGGAGCCGAUUGGACGCUGCAAGAAUUGUCAACAAGAGCAAGUUUUCGAACUGCAGUUGGUUCCGACGCUCGUCUCCAAGCUGAGACUUUCCGGCGAGUCAAAAUCUUGCCCAAGUAGCCUGGAUUUUGGAACAGUUCUGGUCUACACUUGCCGGAACAGUUGCUGGGGGCCCAACGAUCUCGUUAAAGAGGAAACUGUUCUCGUCCAGAAGGAAAUGUUCUAGUUGGCACGCGACUGACAUUGACAUUAUUAGUAUGCGAGAAUUAAGAAGUUUAGACAACGUCCUAUAUUCAAUCGUUCACUUAUUUGCAGUUACGGAUAUGCAACUUAAAGGAGCGCGUUGGAUGAUGUAGCUUUACUUCUAUAUUUACAAGUUUGCGUAAAAUAUGAAGAAAUAAAUUUUAUAUAACAAUGGAAUGGGACAAUUUGAGCAAAAAAUUACCGAAAAUGUUUCUUUUACAUGCUCCGAUAACUGUAAUUUAAUACGAUCUUAUGACAAUCUGGAGCUUAUUAUUAUACCAUUGUUUUUAUGUAAGUUAAGAGUUAGAUAACUCAAUUAAUCUGAUCCAUUUUUUCUAUCAUAAUUUGUUGUAUUGUAUAAUUUGUAAACAGCCAAUAAAAGUUAUAAUUUUUCCCAAAAAAAUACAAUAAAUAGAUUGCGUAAAUAAAACUGCAGUUAAAUGCC